GGAAGGGGUGUAUUUAUUAGAUAAAAAACCAAUGCCCUUCGGGGCUCCUUGGUGAAUCAUAAUAACUUAACGAAUCGCAUGGCCUUGCGCCGGCGAUGGUUCAUUCAAAUUUCUGCCCUAUCAACUUUCGAUGGUAGGAUAGUGGCCUACCAUGGUGGCAACGGGUAACGGGGAAUUAGGGUUCGAUUCCGGAGAGGGAGCCUGAGAAACGGCUACCACAUCCAAGGAAGGCAGCAGGCGCGCAAAUUACCCAAUCCGACACGGGGAGGUAGUGACAAUAAAUACUGAUACGGGGCUCUUUUGGGUCUCGUAAUUGGAAUGAGUACAAUCUAAAUCCCUUAACGAGGAACAAUUGGAGGGCAAGUCUGGUGCAGCAGCCGCGGUAAUUCCAGCUCCAAUAGCGUAUAUUAAAGUUGUUGCAGUUAAAAAGCUCGUAGUUGAACCUUGGGUCUGGCUGGCCGGUCCGCCUCACCGCGAGUACUGGUCCGGCUGGACCUUUCCUUCUGGGGAAUCUCAUGGCCUUCACUGGCUGUGGGGGGAACCAGGACUUUUAC
rnacentral:rRNA from 1 species